rnacentral:rRNA from 1 species
AGAGUUUGAUCCUGGCUCAGGACGAACGCUGGCGGCACGCUUAACACAUGCAAGUCGAACGAGAGAAGAGGAGCUUGCUUUUCUGAUCUAGUGGCGGACGGGUGAGUAACACGUGAGCAAUCUGCCUUUCAGAGGGGGAUACCGAUUGGAAACGAUCGUUAAUACCGCAUAACAUAAUUGAACCGCAUGAUUUGAUUAUCAAAGAUUUAUCGCUGAAAGAUGAGCUCGCGUCUGAUUAGCUAGUUGGUAAGGUAACGGCUUACCAAGGCGACGAUCAGUAGCCGGCUUGAGAGAGUGAACGGCCACAUUGGGACUGAGACACGGCCCAGACUCCUACGGGAGGCAGCAGUGGGGAAUAUUGCACAAUGGAGGAAACUCUGAUGCAGCGAUGCCGCGUGAGGGAAGAAGGUUUUAGGAUUGUAAACCUCUGUCUUCAGGGACGAAAAAUGACGGUACCUGAGGAGGAAGCUCCGGCUAACUACGUGCCAGCAGCCGCGGUAAUACGUAGGGAGCGAGCGUUGUCCGGAAUUACUGGGUGUAAAGGGAGCGUAGGCGGGAUCGCAAGUCAGAUGUGAAAACUAUGGGCUUAACCCAUAAACUGCAUUUGAAACUGUGGUUCUUGAGUGAAGUAGAGGUAAGCGGAAUUCCUAGUGUAGCGGUGAAAUGCGUAGAUAUUAGGAGGAACACCAGUGGCGAAGGCGGCUUACUGGACGAUAACUGACGCUGAGGCUCGAAAGCGUGGGGAGCAAACAGGAUUAGAUACCCUGGUAGUCCACGCCGUAAACGAUGAUUACUAGGUGUGGGGGGACUGACCCCUUCCGUGCCGCAGCAAACGCAAUAAGUAAUCCACCUGGGGAGUACGACCGCAAGGUUGAAACUCAAAGGAAU